UAUAUAUGCAUGUUUAGACUGGCCAUGUUUGCUAAACUCUGUUAGGAACGUUUAUAGCAUUUUCUAAGAUUCUAAGUACUUGAGAAAGCAUUCUGUUUUCUCACCGAAGAUCUGUCCCAAGACACCAAUGUGUAAAAGCUCUGAGCUAUUAUUCUGCAACAGAUGGAGAAAGAGGCAUCAUUGCUAAUGCCAUGUGAGGGCCAUUAUCCCUAGCAUUUUCUUUAAAGAUUGCCGUAUCGAUCAGAGUCCUGCUUAUUAAAGGAAAUAUUCCGGAAUGUUAAAAGGAAAGAAUGGAAAUGUUUGGAAGGGGGGUGUUGGGACUGAAAGUUGUUGCCAAGCAACAGGAAAGUAGAUCAGGACAGAGGGGAGGGUAUAUAGUUGUCAUUUGAGGAAAAGGAUUGAUCUUAGCUGAUUGUAGUUCACUGAUGUCAGCAGUGACGUCUCAGGAAAGGAAGAAAGCAAGAGGGGACAGGUACAUAGCGGGGAUGUUCAGCCCUGGUUACUGUCCAAAGCUCUUCACACAUUCAGCAGUCCACUGCAGACAGCAACAGUCUCUGUCUUUGACCGUGGGAGAAGGCAGAGGAGUGUGAAGGACACACAAACCCAGGGGAAAAAGAUAAAGCUUCACUACAUACUAAUAUUUGAAAAACCAAAGUACCCACAUAAAACAGGAAAUAACAUCAUAGAGAGGACCCCUGGAGAACCUCAUGUCUGUGUGAAGGUCAAUAAGUCUUAUAAAAUGUCAGAUCAUUUUAAUUUUUACGAAGCAUAUUAGUUCAGAAUUUUGUUAAACGACUCAAAAACAUAAGAGUCUCAAAUCCAAAGAGAUAUUCUUUAUAAAAGUUAACACUCGUCCAAGCCCUCCUAAAAUGGCUCGUUCUAACACGCCCCCACAUCUCAAUGUCACUAUGUGGGAAGAUUUGCAUAAUGCCGCCCAAAUGUUCACGCAAAGAAAGAAGGCGUAACUUUUAUUCUUUCUGUUGCCGCUGCUGCCAUGUUGUGGAGUCGCUGUGUGUUACGUUGUGAAACGAAACUACUUUGUUUGGUCUUCCAAAAGAGGACACGACUAGAAAUCAGUGGUUAAGUUGUAUUUACAACACUGUUCCAGAACAGUUCAACCCAAAUAUUCAGAUGUGUGCAGCACAUUUUAUGGAGGACGAGGACUGUUUCCUGAACCAGCCUGCAAUGUGUCUGUGGCACAAAGGCUGUUUCUAUAAAGUGGGGCAGUUCAAACUUUGCAAGGACAGUCUGGUACUUCUGACUGACAGUCUGUAAGUAUGUUUACAUAUUUAAAGUAUUUACCACUGAUGAUUCAAACGCGAGUUUUGAGCAGUAGAGUAGCACUUGUUGUUUGUUGUUUCUCAGAUCACAAAUGCAGACAUGGUUUUAUGUUUACGCAGCGCGAUACACAAUGCAAUGCUAAAAAGACAGUAUA
ensembl:lncRNA